rnacentral:rRNA from 1 species
GACGAACGCUGGCGGCGUGCUUAACACAUGCAAGUCGAACGGAAAGGCCCUGCUCUUGUGGGGUGCUCGUGUGGCGAACGGGUGAGUAACACGUGAGUAACCUGCCCUUGACUUUGGGAUAACUUCAGGAAACUGGGGCUAAUACAGGAUAGGAUCUCCUGCUGCAUGGUGGGGGUUGGAGAGUUUCGGCGGUUGUGGAUGGACUCGAAGCUUAUCAGCUUGAUGGUGGGGUAGUGGCUUACAAGGGCUGUGACGGGUAGGCGGCCUGAGAGGGUGACCGGCCACAUUGGGACUGAGAUACGCCCCAGACUCCUACGGGAGGCAGCAGUGGGGAGUAUUGCACAGUGGGCGGAAGCCAGAUGCGGCAACGCCGCGUGCGGGAUGACCGCCUUCGGGUGGUAAACAGCUUUCGCCGUUGACGAAGCGUGAGUGACGGUAAUGGGUAAAGAAGCACCGGCUAACUACGUG